rnacentral:rRNA from 1 species
UGGGGAAUAUUGGACAAUGGGCGCAAGCCUGAUCCAGCAACGCCGCGUGGAGGACGAAGGCCUUAGGGUCGUAAACUCCUGUCAGUAGGGACGAAAAAGUAGGGUCGAACAGGCCCUGCCAUUGACGGUACCUGCAGAGGAAGCCCCGGCUAACUCCGUGCCAGCAGCCGCGGUAAUACGGAGGGGGCAAGCGUUAUUCGGGAUUUACUGGGCGUAAAGGGCGUGUAGGCGGCUUGAUAGGUCAAAGGUGAAAGCCCUCGGCUCAACCGAGGAACUGCCUUUGAAACCAUCUGGCUCGAGGCCGGGAGGGGGUAGUGGAAUUCCUGGGUGUAGCGGUGAAAUGCGUAGAUAUCAGGAGGAACACCGGUGGCGAAGGCGGCUACCUGGACCGGUUCUGACGCUGAGGCGCGAAAGCGUGGGGAGCAAACAGGAUUAGAUACCCUGGUAGUCCACACCGUAAAACGAUGAAUGCCAGUCGUCGGGUAGCAUGCUAUUCGGU